UUGGAAGGCCACAAUGAGGUCUCUCCACAGCCUUCUCUUCUCCAAGCUAAAGCUUUCAUCUAUUUAUUUUGGAGAUCUGGUGACAGAAGAGCCAGCAGCUGUAACUGCUGCAGAGACACCGAGGCUUUCAUUCAUGCUCACAGAUCUCAAGCAAAAACUCAGAGCAUACAUUGAGAUGGAAGGGAACCAGAAGGACUCAAUGGAAGCAUAACAGCAAAACACAAAGCUACCAAAAAGCAAACAAACACAAACACUCCCCAGCCCAGGUAGCAGUGCUAAAGCACUCACUAAGGGGAAUAGCAGCUUAUUAGAAAGUACAAUUUUUUGCACAAGUAAAAGGCAAGCCAAAGAGCUGCCAAGUGAAUCCGAGUUCAGCUCGGUGUGACCUCACAAACAGAACAAACCUCCUGCCUGCUCACUUGGAAAAGAACUUGACAGGAGCAGUUUGGAAAAAGAUCAGUGCUGCUUUACGAGCAGAGAUAGAAGCAGUCAAAGGCCGUGCGAGGAGCAGGGAGAGGUCAUGAUCAAGUGUUCAUGGCACACAUUCCUUCGGCUUCAUGAGGAAUGAGUUAACCAUUAGGCAAACCAACGGCCUUCCCUUGGCACCAGGAUCUGAUCAGCAGCCCCCAGCCAUGGCUUUAAGCAGCUGAAAUCCAAUGUUAACCACAGGGAAGUGAUUGCUGACCCUUCUGAUAACCUCCAUGCUGGGUAACGGCGUGCAGAGUCCCUCCUGACACCUUCCAGCACAACAGGAGGUACCAUGCAGGGCUGAUGGCCCUUCCCUGAGCUGCUCAGGCCAACACAGCUCCACCAGCAGAAGCCUCUGAGAAAAACAAGCAACUGGAACAUCCCGAGUUGGAAGGAAUGUUGGAAGAAAGUCCAAUCACCAUUCAGUGCAAGUUUUGUAAA